rnacentral:lncRNA from 1 species
UACACGUGACCCGCCCUUCAGAGGCCUGCCUACACCCAAAGGAGCUGAUCUCGCGAGACUUAAAAGCGACGGUUAAAGGACCGGGUGGCCGGUGGGAUGAGGAUGUCUUCAUCCGAAAAAUCUUGUUUCCUGUAUGACAAUGCAGCAUCAGUCCAAGAGAGCCUGGAUUACAUCAUUCCGUGGGCUGUGGGCACCAUGCCUGUGCUCCUGUCAGAAGCUGCUGUGGUCCUGAAACGCUGCACAAGGAGAAUUUGUGCCUUUUAAAUCUUGGGUUCUGGGGAUUAUGCCAGGGCUGGUUACACAGCAGGAAAAAGCCAGACCCAUGAUGUCAUUCAACAUAUCUUCUCGCAGAGACUAGAUACACUUGUGAGCUAGAUUUGGACUUUUAUACUUGCUUCAUGGGCAUAGGUGUUCUGUUUUGCUUUGUUUUGUUUUAAGCCUCAAAUUACCCCAUAUCCCAUGGCCCUGGUUUUAGUAAAUGUCCUUGUACUGUUCUGAUGUUUCAGCUUGAGGUUGUCGAUAACAAACAAUAGUAGCUUCAUAAGGAACCAAAGUGCACUGCUGUUGUUUACUGAUUCAUUUUGCAUCUCACAGAAAAUGUAAUGGAUGAUAGUGACAGGCUGCUUUUACCUGCCAUAGCUCCAGAAGAGGAGGACUUUAAUCUCAGCUGUAGAAACUGUUAGUUAGCUCUUCCUGUGGAAGCUCCAGACCCCCACCAUCACUGCCACCCCUCCCCCACCUUCCUCAUCCACCCUUUAGCCCCCCCAAAAUAGGUUGUUAAUGAGAGAGCCUCUCAAUUAGGGGAAUGAAGGAUGCUCUGGUUGAUUUUUUUUUCUGGAAUAAAUUUGAGUUAAUCUAAGAAAAAUGCUUUUUA